GCAUAUCAAUAAGCGGAGGAAAAGAAACCAACAGGGAUUGCCUUAGUAACGGCGAAGUGAAGCGGCAACAGCUCAAAUUUGAAAGCUGGCCCUUUCAGGGUCCGCGUUGUAAUUUGUAGAGGAUGAUUCGGCGAGGGCUCCCGCCUAAGUCCCCUGGAACGGGGCGUCAUAGAGGGUGAGAAUCCCGUAUGCGGUGGGCUGCCUUAGCCGUGUGAAUCUCCUUCGACGAGUCGAGUUGUUUGGGAAUGCAGCUCUAAAUGGGAGGUAAAUUUCUUCUAAAGCUAAAUACCGGCCAGAGACCGAUAGCGCACAAGUAGAGUGAUCGAAAGAUGAAAAGCACUUUGGAAAGAGAGUUAAAAAGUACGUGAAAUUGUUGAAAGGGAAGCGCUUGCAACCAGACUUGUCCGCAGUUGCUCAGCCGGUCUCCUGACCGGCGUACUCUUCUGCGGCCAGGCCAGCAUCAGUUCGGGCGGUCGGAUAAAGACCUCGGGAAUGUAGCUCCUCUCGGGGAGUGUUAUAGCCCGGGGUGGAAUGCGGCCAGCCUGGACUGAGGAUCUCGCUUCGGCAAGGAUGCUGGCGUAAUGGUUGUAAGCGGCCCGUCUUGAAACACGGACCAAGGAGUCUAACAUCUAUGCGAGUGUUUGGGUGUCAAACCCAUACGCGUAAUGAAAGUGAACGGAGGUGGGAACCCGCAAGGGCGCACCAUCGGCCGAUCCUGAUGUCUUCGGAUGGAUUUGAGCAAGAGCAUAGCUGUUGGGACCCGAAAGAUGGUGAACUAUGCCUGAAUAGGGUGAAGCCAGAGGAAACUCUGGUGGAGGCUCGCAGCGGUUCUGACGUGCAAAUCGAUCGUCAAAUUUGGGUAUAGGGGGCGAAAGACUAAUCGAACCAUCUAGUAGCUGGUUCCUGCG
rnacentral:rRNA from 1 species